rnacentral:rRNA from 1 species
GUGUGUCGUCGUGCAGUCUGAGAGUAGUUGUAUCGUGCUAGGACGAACGCUGGCGGCGUGCUUAACACAUGCAAGUCGAACGGGAGUAUUGAAGAAGCUUGCUUUAGAGAUACUUUAGUGGCGGACGGGUGAGUAACGCGUGAGGAGCUGUCCUAUGCAGGGGGACAACAGCUGGAAACGGCUGCUAAUACCCCAUAAGCCGAGAGGUAAAAGGAUCAAUCCGGCAGAGGAGGUACUCGCGUCCUAUCAGCUAGUAGGUGAGGUAACGGCUCACCUAGGCGAAGACGGGUAGCCGGCCUGAGAGGGCGAACGGCCACACUGGAACUGAGAUACGGUCCAGACUCCUACGGGAGGCAGCAGUGGGGAAUAUUGGGCAAUGGGGGAAACCCUGACCCAGCGACGCCGCGUGGGUGAAGAAAUCCUUCGGGAUGUAAAGCCCUGUUGUAUGGGAAGAGCGGAAGACGGUACCAUACGAGGAAGCCCCGGCAAACUACGUGCCAGCCGCAGC